UGUUUUUAGGGGGUGUAAAGAGGUGUCUUGUGGAUAGUAGUUGCGAGGAAGGAUGAUACCGGAGCGCGUCGGUGAGCGGAUCCUUUUCCACCGGUGAUAAUAAAGCCUUAGAAAUAAAGCCUUAGAAAUAGUUGGAAGGAGGGAGGGACCGCUAUUCCUGCUAGGGCAGGUUUACAACUGAUGUCUUACACCCACUCCAGGAAACAAACCUGGGUAGGGACUGACGUGUUACGCCUCUUCUAAUGACAUUUUUUUUCUUUCCACCUCCUUUUCUUUGCCGUGUAACACAGAGGAGAAGCCCCCUGAAACGCACGCCACCUAUCUUCACGGGAGGGGAUAAUUGAGGAGAGCCAAACGUGAGCAUCUUCUGGGUUGAACGUGAAGUUUUUUUUUUCCUCCCUCUCUCUCUCUCUCACACACUCUCUCUCUCUCUCCCCCCUUCUCUCUCUCCUUUCUUUCCCCUCACUCUCCUCUCUCUUUCUCCAUCUCUUCUCUUUUUGAGUGAAACCAACUAUGUCGGGCUUCGACGCGGAGCAAAGAAGAGGCGACAGUGUGUGUGUGUUUUUUCUCUCCCCUUUUUCCUUCGUGUGAAUGUGUGUGUGCGUGUGUGUGUGUGUAUGUGUGUGUGUUUUAGUGUAGGAAAGGGGGGAGAAACUUGGAGCGCGUCCACGCCGGCCGCAAUCAUAUUGUGAGAGCACGCAGCGGUCCACAGUACCAUGUCCUCAGUGUGUUGGGCGGUGAUGCUUUUCUCAGCAGUUGCAUCAUGCAUGCUUCUGACAUACCAUGACUUCAGACAUGAACUGACAGUGAAGAGACGGCGGUGGGGAGAGGGAUGGAACAAAGGUCCCCAGCCGGAGUCACGCACAGGAUGUUGCGGGGCAUGAUGUGCAUUUUAAAUCAGCAGGCACCGAGGACAGCGAUUGAUUUAUCAGCCGCUUAAACAGAAGUUUAAACAGAAAGCUUUAAAAUUCAACUACUUAUUAGCAGAAACGGUCCGAGCAGACAUAAAGGGAGACUCUGCAUAUGUGUAAUGUGAUCUGUACAGUCUGACUGUCUAGUGUCUGAUCCGGUUGCAGUCUCUGUAGCGCCACCAAAACAAAUCCCGCACAUUUACUGUACUUGACAAAUAAAAUGGUUUUGAUUGGGAUUCUGAUAGAUCCCACAAGAAAACUUUUUACUCUGAGAAGAAGGAGAAGAAGAAGAAAAAAAAAGACGACUUAUCGCUCGCUGAAAUGAAUAAUUGACGGCGCCUCCGUUGAAUAAUUAAUCAAACAUUUGAAUAAUUGUUGUAGCUCUAAUCUCGACAGACAUUUGCAUAUCGGCGUGCUCUUAAUAUCUGCCACUGUAUAUGAGUUUACAUCCUCUCAGGACACAAAGAUGGAAUUAAAAGAUCUG